rnacentral:rRNA from 1 species
UAAAAGUCGUAACAAGGUUUCCGUAGGUGAACCUGCGGAAGGAUCAUUAGUGAAUAUAGGACGUCCAACUUAACUUGGAGUCCGAACUCUCACUUUCUAACCCUGUGCACUUGUUUGGGAUAGUAACUCUCGCAAGAGAGCGAACUCCUAUUCACUUAUAAACACAAAGUCUAUGAAUGUAUUAAAUUUUAUAACAAAAUAAAACUUUCAACAACGGAUCUCUUGGCUCUCGCAUCGAUGAAGAACGCAGCGAAAUGCGAUAAGUAAUGUGAAUUGCAGAAUUCAGUGAAUCAUCGAAUCUUUGAACGCACCUUGCGCUCCAUGGUAUUCCGUGGAGCAUGCCUGUUUGAGUGUCAUGAAUACUUCAACCCUCCUCUUUCUUAAUGAUUGAAGAGGUGUUUGGUUUCUGAGCGCUGCUGGCCUUUACGGUCUAGCUCGUUCGUAAUGCAUUAGCAUCCGCAAUCGAACUUCGGAUUGACUUGGCGUAAUAGACUAUUCGCUGAGGAUUCCAGACUUGUUCUGGAGCCGAGUUGGGUUAAAGGAAGCUUCUAAUCCUAAAGUCUAUUUUUUGAUUAGAUCUCAAAUCAGGUAGGACUACCCGCUGAACUUAAGCAUAUC